CGGACCUGUGUCCAGGUCCGUCCCCACGCUCGCAUGCGUCGCUGGUAACGGCGGGGUGUGAAGCCGAGUGUGAAAGCCCAAGAGCGG
rfam:Alloactinosynnema sp. L-07 genome assembly, chromosome: I